rnacentral:rRNA from 1 species
UACGUAGGGGGCGAGCGUUGUCCGGAUUUAUUGGGCGUAAAGAGCUCGUAGGCGGUUUGGUAAGUUGGAUGUGAAAUCUCCAGGCUCAACUUGGAGGGGUCAUUCGAUACUGCCAUGACUAGAGUUCGGUAGGGGAGUGUGGAGUUCCUGGUGGAGCGGUGAAAUGCGCAGAUAUCAGGAGGAACACCCGUAGCGAAGGCGGCACUCUGGGCCGGAACUGACGCUGAGGAGCGAAAGCGUGGGGAGCGAACAGG